CUCCGAUCAGGGUGAACGGACGGAUGCUGCGGCUGCUACGCUACAAUGAAACGCUCUCCUCUAACGCAUGCUACUGCCUCUGCGCCUCCAUGUUGGGGCGAUGCGUCGCGUCUCCUGGACCGGACCGUCUCUACCAUGCCUCGUCGAUCUGCCCCUGCGUCGCCCUGUCCUCUGCCGUUUCCCGUUCCAAUGUCGAUUCGUCCAUUGCGGUACUCCUCGCGUCCUCACGUCCUGCUCGACUCUCUGCUUCUCCCUUUCCUCGUCCGCUGCCUGUACAGAUGCGCAGGUCUGACCGCCCCCACUCCCUCCGCGCUGCCUCCCCCUCCCUCUCCAUCCUUUUUUCAUUAUAUUAUCCCUUUCUUCAGCAAAAGCCUACACGCGCACAAAAGCAUUCAAGCUAUUUAUGGUGAGAUUUUUCGUCCGCACGUCAGAUGUUUAAGGAGAAAAGUGUGUUUGUCACACGGUCCAUUCAGACUCCAGCAUUCCCAUAAUUUCCCUGAAGGCGCGCUCUCCCCACACAUUCCUCCAAUGGCUCCUCCCUCCGCCCCCUCGCUGCUGCGGCGGCGGUCACGUGUCACGGAGUUCGCCAAUCAGCGCGUCUCACGGCCAGCAGCGACUCCAGCGGCAGCGUUUAUCCAGGUCCUCUGUGAGCCGCGGCUCUGUCCGACUCCGUCUGGUGGCGACGGCGAUGGGGGGUUGUUUUGAUUGAAGUUGACAUAUUUUAUUCUGCCAUUGUUGCGUUGAAGUCCAGGAUGUUCGAGGUGCAGUCCGCGUGCACGGCCGCCCGCUGCUGUUCCCAUCCGCGAAGGAGAACCAGGCUUUGGAACAAGCGAUCUUGAAGGCGAGAGGAGCAACUUUUCCCACUGUCUACUCAACGGGCUGACCUAUGCUAAGCUAACGCGUUAGCCAAAAGUCUGGAGCGCAGUCUAAAGUCCUGUAAAAAGUCCGCAAACGAGUAAGCGACGUUUACACGGCGGGGUUCCGUGACUACAUGACUCUUUCUCGCCACUUCCGAAGAGAACCCUGGCGCUCGGAGCCCAGUUUGGACGGAGGACGGUGCAGGUGCACCUCUUGUGGCACCUGCGAAAACUUGGUAACUUGGCUCCAUCCACAGACGGCUAACUUUAGCAGCUUCACGUUAGCAUCGAGUGGGAGCAGACUCGAGGAUCACGUUUUUAACCUAAAGUUGAGAUUGCUUUUAUACGUUAUUGUUCGGGUCCAAGACUGCCUUCCGUUUGGACACUAAGCUCGUAAAGUGUUGACAUUAGCCUUAUAGUAUUUGGGCUAACUUUAGCCUGCCUGGCUAGCGCGUUACUGACCCUACACUGUUACCGGAGUGGCGACGUGGAUACAUGGUGGUAGACGCUGUCUCUCACGGGACUUUGGACACGAAGGGGACUUCCCUACUUUUCUCAUCGGCUACAGCUCGCUAAUGUGACAGCAUGCUGACCCCACAACGUUACGUUUCAGAGCUUAGAAGUUUUAAUUUGAUCUAAAAGCUCUCCACCCUAUGCU
rnacentral:lncRNA from 1 species